rnacentral:rRNA from 1 species
UUCGUAGGGUGCAAGCGUUGUCCGGAAUUAUUGGGCGUAAAGAGCUCGUAGGCGGUUCGUCGCGUCGGCUGUGAAAUCCCGAGGCUCAACCUCGGGUCUGCAGUCGAUACGGGCGGGCUUGAGUUCGGUAGGGGAGACUGGAAUUCCUGGUGUAGCGGUGAAAUGCGCAGAUAUCAGGAGGAACACCAAUUGCGAAGGCAGCUCGCUGGAACGUAACUGACGCUGAGACGCGAAAGCGUGGGGAGCAAACAGG